AUCGUUGUUAAGGGUACCUAAGCGUUGCCAUGUGCGCACUUAAAAUAUUUUGGACUCGCUCACGCAUACUUGCAUAUUUUGUAUAUGAAUAAUAGACUCGAAUUGAAUUGAAUUGAGUAGGUGCAAGGCUCACAAUGAAGCAAAUGAGUACCAAUGUGAGUGCGUGUUGUGUUUCAUAUCAGACGCCAUUCAGCAAAAUAAGUGAAAAUCAUGAGUAACGAGACUGUAUGUUUUUUGCAAGUAAUUCCAACGCAUUCCCACUCAUUCAAUACGUGUUAAUUCGUUUCAAUGUUCUGCGUCCUGCGUUCAGGGUAUAAAUAAAACACGGCACUACGAACCAGAAGUACACUUAAGAGCUCAUCAAGUAAUAUUUUUCUAAGCUGAAAAGUUCUGUCGUCUAAAGACUCGUGGAGGAAAUUUACCACCAACCGAAAACUGAUCUACUGAUCAAUAUAACAGCCGGCGAAGCUUGGGCCGUGUGGCCUUGGCCACGAGUGGAAGUUCACCUCGAGGGUCUGCCACCUCAAGUGUGGAAUUCUUGUAGAACUUUCUCUUUCCAUGGAAUGGGAAAAUGCAGAGGAAUGCCUUUGGCCUAAGUAGCUUCGACGUCAAGGGUAGCCGCUACAAUUUCACCUUUCCAGAAGUAACAAGCACGCAUGUCCCCACUUUAAGCUACAAUGCUCAUAUGUAGAAUUUUGGUGACCACGUGAGCUUCUGCCUAACCUGCAACUUCGGAAUGCUAAUGAGAAAAUAGACCUGCUAAGCCAUCCACCUAUAUAAACAGCAGCACUGUCUAUGUUAUUAAAUCAGCAAGCGAAAGCUUCUCGCAUAUUCAAGUUAUUAAUGGUGCAACGUGGACGGACCAGAUGACACAUUCAAAGGAAGAAGUGACGAGUUUAAAUUUUAAAUGGAGCGCCGACUUUGAACUAGAUGGUGCUGAUUUAAGCUAAAACAUCACUGUCAUAAAUCAUCGUUCACCGACAUCAUUUAAAUUGCAUACGUCUUCAUGUGUUAAAUGCUUUAUUCGCACGUAAGUGGUAUGGUAUCCUCAAUAAGGAAAAGCAAAUUAAAUAAUGACAUGAUCAAUAAAGCAUGCUCUUCUAGCGUAUGAAGUUUCAAAACUUUAAAAAU